GUUGACAAGGUGACGAGCUCAACUGCCUUACACCGAGGUUAAUUAAUAAUAGGCUGAACGAGCGGCUUUUUCUUAUUUACAUUUUUAGUGUGGAUAUACGCUUCUAAAAUCCAGCAAUUCAUUUUGCCCUUUUUUGGGGGUCUUGAGUCUGAGGCAAAGGCCAUUUAUCUCUGUGUAAUUCACAUGAAUCCUACUGUUCUAUUGAUGCCAUAUUUGCGGGGGCUGGGCAAACAUUUCUUUUCAAAAUGGACUCCCCUCCCUUGUGGCUAUAAAAUAUGCCUAUUUCAGGAGACAGAAGGCAGGGUGAGGCCGAAAGGAUUUUACUCAAAAUUGUGGUCUGAUUAGAGCUGUCAGGAAAUGAAGUAGAGGGCGGUCAGACAGGAAGGUAAAAGGUCAAAGGGGGACAUAACAGCAGGUUUGUUAUCAGAAGUAUUGCUUAAUGUUUAAACAAAUCACACACAAACAGAAAAAAAGUUUGAUUCCUUCUUUUCUCUGCUGAUUUAUAUAAUUAAUGAUGUAUAAGCUAAAGGUGCAUUAACCUGUACCUCUCCUGUCUCAUUAGAAUGAAAAAUUAAAAAACAGGACAACACUGCUAACAACCACCAGGACAGGAGGCCCUAUGAUCACACCAAAGUGUAAAUAGCAGUAUGAGUAAAAUCCUGUCUGCCACACUCAGUGCUCUGUCACACCAUCCAUGAUCACUGUUACUGCCAUGGGGAGCAUGACCCAACAACCCAUGUUUAGGUGAGUAUUAGGAGUGCAGAAUGGAGUUUAAU